GUGAGGAAUAUUGGUCAAUGGACGAGAGUCUGAACCAGCCAAGUCGCGUGAAGGAAGACGGUUCUAUGAAUUGUAAACUUCUUUUGUGCAGGAAUAAAGUGGGUUACGUGUAACCUUUUGUAUGUACUGUACGAAUAAGGAUCGGCUAACUCCGUGCCAGCAGCCGCGGUAAUACGGAGGAUCCGAGCGUUAUCCGGAUUUAUUGGGUUUAAAGGGUGCGUAGGUGGAUUGAUAAGUCAGCGGUGAAAGUUUGCAGCUUAACUGUAAAAUUGCCGUUGAAACUGUCGGUCUUGAGUGCAAAUGAGGUAGGCGGAAUGUGUUGUGUAGCGGUGAAAUGCUUAGAUAUAACACAGAACUCCGAUUGCGAAGGCAGCUUACUGGGAUGCAACUGACACUGAUGCACGAAAGCGUGGGGAUCAAACAGGAUUAGAUACCCUUGUAGUCC
rnacentral:rRNA from 1 species